UUUGAUAGUCCAGAUCAAGGCCUGUCGACUUCCUUAGAAAGAUAUGACGCUUCAUAAUUGCGCAUGUGUGGUCUGACGCUCUGGAAAUAGAUACCAGUUAUUAAUAUAAAAAUAUUUUGCUACAGCAACAUUGCUCCUAUCUGACUUUGUCUAUUCAACUUUGGGACAAAUAAAAUCAUUUUUAUCAAAUAUUUUGAUUUAUAGUCUGUCAAGCAAAGUCUGUCAGUAGCAAUGUAAAGCAAACUGAAGUAUGGCAACACUCACAGAGCAGUAUUGCGCUAAGAAAAGCAGCAAUGUACAUCGAACCGAAACAUAUUUUUUUCCGCUGAGCGCGCUCUUCGUACGUCAACUAAAAUUGCCGCUCGCGGUUUAUUGAAGCAUUUGGAAAGUGUUAUUAUUAUGAGAGGGACAAUUUAAACUGGAGUAAAAACGAUGUCAAUCAAUAUGAUAAACAAGAUCAAAAAAUACCUAUUUGCAAACGGACUAUGCUGGAGAAAAUAAUGUUUGAAUCAAGUCAUUGCUUCCGCAGCAAACUUAGAAGACAAAUAGAAAGGUAGAAAGCUGUUUUUAACAUCAGUUCAGAAACUGAAGAAGCCCAAAGAAAAUAAUUAUGCCACUUGUUAAUUGUAAAUUAGUGUAUUUCUCUUGAACAAUGUCACAUUCACAUACCAGUGUAAUUUUGAAAUGGUUUUACAAUAUAUUUAUAUAAAUAUACAGAUUAAAAAUAAAUAAAACACAACUGCAGAUAUUUUGGUGUUCAUUUAAUUUCAAGGCAAUUAAGAUACGGGUCACUUUAGCUUACUUACACUUAAUUCAGGCCAUUCAUUGAAAAAAUAUCAUUAAGUUACCAAUGUUACUGGUCCACUCCAACCAAGCAUCAGAAUACUUUGUACCUAGUCACUUAUUGCAUCUUAAGCAUAAAACAGAUCUGUUUGAAAUUUUUUAAUUUCAAGUUUAAAGUUUCCAUUCCAAGUUUCAAAAUGUAUUCUUAUAGUAGUAGUUACACAUAAAACUUAGUCUAAAGCAAUUUGCCUAAUUUAUAGUAUAGAGAUAUUCCAAUAUCUCUGAGACCACUCUUACAUGCUAGCUUGGUAAGGUUUUGCUCACACUACUGUUUUUAUACAGGCUAAAAAUGUUAGAUAUUUACAUGAAUUGGCUAGAUCAUAUUUUAUAUGUAGAUAUUUAAAAAAGUCAUUUAGAUAUCAGGAGAAUGCUGUUAAGAAAUUUUAUUAACUUUCACAUUAGUCUAUUCAAGACUUGUCAGGAACUGACACAAUUUCAGGUACUCAAAAUAUUAAUAAAAGAUACCUUGACAAUGGAAACUUAACAACUUCCACUCAUGUGAGUAAUAUGGAGUUAUAUUGUUUCUGGAUAAAAGAAGGUAUGAUUUAAAUGUUAAAAUAUUUUUCUAAAAUUAUGCACACUGAAUAAAUUAUUUUAAUU